GCAGCCUUCAGAAGACCAGAGAUAUUUUGGCUCCUUGCUCCACAGUGUAUUGGAGGCACCCAGAGAAAAACCUUAUAAUUUUCAUAGUUUCUCCCCACUCUGGUCCCGUGGAGUUUAACCCAUGGUUUCGCACCCAAGCCAGCACUGUAAUGUUUCGCUACACCCUCAUCCCUUAUUUUUGCUUUGAGACAAGAUCUCAAUAAGUUGCCCAGACUGACCACAGACUUUCAAUCCUCCUGCCUCGCCCCCACCAGGUGGGGCUAUGGGUAUGCGCCACGGUGGACCAUUCAAGAACUCUCAAUAGAUUACUGUCAAAACACUCCAUUCCAGGAAUUGCAGAUUGAACUUGGAACCUUGUGCUUGAGAGGCUGCCGCUAAAUCCCUUGCCUGCAAGUAUAUUUUUUAACUGCAUUAAUUUUCCUGACUAACAUAGCAGUGGUAUUUGUGAAACAGGAAG
rnacentral:lncRNA from 1 species